rnacentral:rRNA from 1 species
GACGAACGCUGGCGGCACGCCUAACACAUGCAAGUCGAGCGGGAUCUUGUGGAAUGAGUCUUCGGACAAGUGAAGCAAGUGAGAGCGGCGGACGGGUGAGUAACGCGUGAGUAACCUGCCCUAUACAGGGGGAUAGCCACUGGAAACGGUGAUUAAUACCCCAUAAGACCCCGGCGCCGCAUGGCGCAGUGGUAAAAACUGAGGUGGUAUAGGAUGGACUCGCGUCUGAUUAGCUAGUUGGUGAGGUAACGGCUCACCAAGGCGACGAUCAGUAACCGGCCUGAGAGGGUGAACGGUCACACUGGAACUGAGACACGGUCCAGACUCCUACGGGGCAG